GGGGACACAAUGGGAAAAGGCCAAACGCCUUGUUUCAGCAGCACCAAUGCCAAGUCUCCGGGCAGAAUUUGCUCCGUGCACACUGCAACACAAAUUAUUUAUUCAUGAAAAGGCCGUGCUGUCGCUCGGGGUUUAUGGCAGCAGUCCGGGCUGUAUCCCUUCCCAGCUGGGAUGCUGCGCAUCUCGGUCCCCUCCCUUCAACACAGAGCAUCGCAUUGGGAUGCUUCCCAUCUGCCGGGAAGGUGCAAAACAGCAGGAGGAUCUCGCCAGUCCUGUCCACAGAUAUUUUUUUCCCUAGGAUUGCUGAAAAUGUGAAACCCCCCCAGCCAGCAGCGACAGCUCACUUCGUGCCUCUGGAGCACGCCAGGUCCUGGUCCUGCCACGCACUCUCUUGUUUCUAAGCAUGCCAAAUAUUUGUGGUACCGUGGUCUCUGUGCGGGUCUGUGUGCAUGCAUAUAUAUAUAUAUUUGUAUUAAUACACGAGUGUAUUAAUGCAUAAGUAUUAAAGGGGAAGCUCUGUUUAACAAAAAUUUAAAAGAUGCUCACAAGUGCCUGUAAUGCAAAAUUUGGGCAAUGUACAAAACCAUGAUUCUUCCAGAAAACCUCCAGCAGGACUGUCGGGCGCACCGGAUUGUGUUCGCGUCCUGCCGUUACUGGAGCGCUAGUUUUGAGCCAAGACUAUCGGCUCAGAUUCGAGACCUGGCUCAGCCAGGACUCCAAGGAGAAAAAUGAGCUGCAGAAACCCUGGCGAUGGAAACCCACAAGAUUUAGGCAUGUGCAUCCCGCUGGAACGGUUGCGCUCGGUACCUGCCUCGGUCCCCCACCUAGCAGGACGUUUCACACUGUGUUUUCCCACUCAGUUGUUUGGUUUUUUUUCUAUAUUGAUGCAUUUUCUUGUCCAUCCACUGAAACACAUCACAUCGGGAAGAAACUCUUACUCUCCCUCAGCUGGAAGAGAUGCAACCAGAGUGGGUAGAAAUGCUCCCACUGAAUAAUUUUUUUCAGUUGAAAAUGUCUUUUCAAACUACACCAAGUCCUUCAUGAACGCAAGAACUGUCCUCAAUAUACACUGGGGUUUGUUUUGUUUUCCUAAAAAUCCCACGCUUCAGGUACUGCAUUUUUUGGCAACUGCAAAGUCCCAAUUUUUUCAUGGAGAGAGACUUUGGGUAGAAACCCUCAAACUUUCCAAGAAAAACACUACAACUGAAGUUGCUUAAACACAAAGAAAGAAUUUUGGCAGAAAAAAACAAAGAAAUUCCAGCCCCAUUCUGUUGUUUUCUCAGUAGUCUUCAUGGUUAUAGUAGUUUUCCAUGUUAAUUAGUGGCCAGCUCUUCCUUCUGGGGAGUUCAAUGGGGUAUAGAGACCAGAGGCUGAAUAUGCACCAAGGUGCAAGGCACCUCUGACCAACGCAGGAUGCUGCUCCUAAUAAAAUAGCUGUUCAAAGUAACAGCAUUUUUAGUGGUACCCAGUGAAAAAGAAAUCACUAAUUGCUGAGAAAGCGGCAAGAGGAAUGAGAUUUACUGGUGGCAAGCACCAGUGCACAGCUAUCAGGAUGGCGUGUGGUUUAAAAAAGUGGAUUAUUUUGGGAAUGGCACCUUUGUGUUGGAUGAGGAGGCAGUUUCUGCACUAAAGAUGCAGCCGUGUGUUACAUCUGUUCAUGUCCUCGUUGAGGUUUUGUCUUGCUGCCCUGUGGCUGGAGCGGAGGGUUUGCUCAGCAAGGGCCAUCGUGGUUAUUAAAGGGUUUAAGAUGGGCUUCAGGAGGCUUGAAAAAUUAAAGAAAAAUAAAGAACACUGUGGGAAUAUCAGAUGAAGGGGCUGGAUGGAGAAUUAUAGACAUCAGGGCUAUCAUGGUGUGGUGGCCGACCACAACACAGCCACAUUACUGUCCCUGAGCUCAGCCCCAAAUAAAUCUGGUUUUCACAGCCUUUACCCAAAGUUCAGGCUUUAAUUUAAAGUAAAAACUCAUACCCCAAUCAUCCUCAGUCCUUACUGCCUCGGGAAGUCCUUUCCAGACCAGUUCAUAACUCCUGGGUGCUGCUGAUGUGCCAGAGGCUGAGGGAGAGGAAAAUUCAGAUUUGAUUUCACACCAGCUCCAAAUACCAGUGGGUUUUUCCCUCUGGAAGAUGCUCUUGCCACCAGCAAAUCCCAGGGUGCCCUCAGACUGCAGAGGGAUUUCUCCAGGACAUUUUACUAAAUUUGGAGAUAUUUCCCCAAAGGGUAGAGACACAUUAAACAGGGCCAUCAAGUGGGUUUUUUUAAUAACCUGGUGCAGGUGUGGAUGAGGGGAGUGAGACGACGUUUGGGGUAAAAGAAUAAUAGUGAAAAAAAUACAAUAGAAAGCAAAUCAGCUUAUGAUAAACAACUGAGUACGAAUGGGGGAAGACAAAAUAGCAUUGGGCAGCAGGAGCGAUGCAAAAUGUAGAGAGUAGAAUUAACAUCUGCCCAUUCCCAGUGCGCCUUGCAGACAAAACCACUGGUGGAAAGGCACAGAUUCCUGGUGAGUCCCAUCCAGCCCUUGUGUGCAGAAACCCCCCAAAAGGGGCCACUCAGGGAGGGAUGGGGAUGCAGGCAGUGGGUUUUGAUGUACAACGCGGUUCAGAAAGACAAGUGCAUCGGGGACUAUUUGCAGAAAACCUGCUGAGAAGUUUGGCUGCUUAAGAAAUUUAAAAAACCUGCCACCGAGCAAAGGGAGAGAGGGGAUUAGCUGGAGGGAUCCAUGCUGCUGCUGCAUCCUCAGUGUGAGAGCGGUGGGAUGUGUCUCUAAAAGUCCGGCUGCCUAGAAAAGCAUUUCGGGCAUCCCAGGAAGGCGGGCGGCUUUUUCCAGGAAUGUGAUCCCGUGAAGCACAAGAAAGGAUGGGGAGAGGAGGAGGAGGGACGGCCCGGCCACAAGGUGUGAUCUGAAGGCUUCUCAGCUCAGUGAGGACCAGCCACGGGGAGGAUGGAUUUUUGGCACUACCAGCAGGACAUCACGGGACCUCCCGAACUGCAGGCAGCUCCUGGGGAUGCCCGAAUGAUGCUGAAGGGGAAACACAGCAAAGUCAUCUUAAAAAAAAAAAAAAUCACCCCCAUUCCACAGGGAAAGAAAGGAAAAAGGCAGCUAAAGAUGGAAUUAAAUAUCAGGUUCUUUAAGCCGUGUAGGGGGGAUAGUGUUUUCCUGGAGCUGUAGAGCUCAACCGAGCUCCAUCUCAAAGGGCAAAGCUCCUGGGGGGACCCUGGAUGGCCAAGCCAGGGGCACGUCAGCCUGGUAACAUAAUGGAGGAGGAACAAGAGCACUAGUACAUUAAAAAAAAAUAGAAUUGGAAGAUCACAGGUUGCAAAGAAAAUUAACGGCAGUGGCAAAAACCACUAGCACAAGGUGGAAUUGCUAAAUACACAGCAUGACACUGCUCCUCAGGCUGGAAGGUGGUGGGGACAUUUCCCUGGCCACGGUAUUGCAGCCCUGUGAUACGACCACCUUCUCCAUCCAAUUUCCACUCAUACUCAGGGGUCUCGAUGUGCCAAACCUGAUCUGCACCCCUCUGGGAAUGGACUGGGAGCAGAUAUUUCCUUCUCCCAAGCAGUCCCAGCCUGGUUCCAAGUCAUUAGCAACAUGGAAAUAAAUGAUCCAGAGUGUUUCUGGAUCAAUAUCCUGGGAAAUAAAGGGUGAAGCACGAAGGGUCUGCGGCAGACCAGCACGCUGCAUCAAGGACCCGACACAAUAUUCUUCUUUAAAUAGCCACAGCUAUAAUAUCUAAUAAAAGUCUUGGGAUCACUGGGGACUUCAAACCAAGCAAUGGAUGCUGGAGGUCUCGAUCUGCCAGUAUUAAAAUAUCCUCAGAAUUUCUGGGGGAAAAAAAUCUAAAAGAUAAUUUCCUAAUGCAAAAAGUAUUGCCUCCAAUAUGAGGGAAUUCCACGUUCAAGCUCACCCUGGCAGGUGGAGAUGAAUUUCUCACUGUAUUAGGCACGAGCAAUCAUGGCUUGAUUACAUUUGUUAUGUGCAAACGAAGUAAAGCUCAAAGCAGCAAUAUAUAUAUAUAUAUAUAUAUACUUGCCACUUUAAAAGGUCCCGUUUCACAGAGCAGAAAAUAAUUACAAGUGAGAUCAAUUUGGAGAAACAAUUUAGAUGAAAAAUGUGGUGAAAAGGGAGAAGCCUUUAAGAAUUUUUUACCCAAAAAGCAGCAACGCAGACAGAAAUAUUUGUUAAAAAAAACCCCAACACAUCUUGGAAAGGAAGUAAAAGAGCCGCCAAGACUAACACAUAAAAUACAAACACACAAAAAGAAGAAAAGGGAAACUUGUAGUAAUUAACAAACCUCAGAAGCUAGGGAAAUUAAAGAGAAAAGGAUAUUUUCUUUCAGGAAAAUAAGACCUGCAUUAGCAGCGGGCCAAUAUUAUGCAGAAAUAGGAGAUUUAUCAAUAAUAUAGAAAAGGUAGAAACGCUCAGUGCAGGUUUCCUCCUGGUAUCAGGUGGAAAAAAAAAAGACAACGUGCUCACAAAAUACUUUCUAAGAGCACAUCGGAGGGACACUGAACAGCAAGCUGGUGGAGCUGGGUAAUUUUAAACCAGCAGAUCUGAAUAACUUGCAAGAGUUGUAAAGGAGGAGGCCAAGGAGCUGUCUGGAUAGUUAAUGGUGAUUUUCAAUAGGUCUUGGAACAGUCACUGGAAGUGCCAGAGGACUGGGAUACCGCCAGCGCUGUGCCCACGCUUCGAGCGGUGAAGAGGACACUGAUUUUAAGCCUUUAAGCCCUGGGAGGGAUCUUGGACAAUUAAUGGAGCCGCUAACACUGAACUUGAUAGUGGAGCAUUAAAAGAAGGUGAUAUAAUGAAUGGCAAAUAGGAGUUGGAGGGAAAUGGGCAGUGGUGAGCUCACCGUCUGUCACCGGUGAGGUGACGAGGGCGUUAGGGAAAAAUAAUCAAAGCAAUGCAAUAUCCUUAGAUUUCCCACAGCCCUUGGCUUGGGCCCAGGCGAUGGAUUGAUCGGGAAACAAUACAAAAUCAACAGGGCCUGCACGGAAUAGAUUAAAACCGCAAAACUGAGAGGUCUCAGAGGCCAGUUGUAAACAGUGAGUAAGAGCAGAGUAAGCGUGUGUGCAGAGGCAUCGCUGGGGAGCAGCUUUGGGCUGUAGAAUCAUAGAAUGAUGGAAUAGUUUGAGUUGAAGGGACCUUCCAAGCUCAUCCAGUCCAACACUGGCCAUGAGCACAGACAUCUUCACCCAGAUCAUGUUGCUGGAGAAGGUCUGAGCAUCCUACCUGUGACACCAGCAAACACCGAGGAGCUAAAUGCUGGGGAGCAGAGCAGCCUGGGGAGAAGGAAAAGGAGGGAUUUGGUCUCUAGUUCCAGCUCAGAGCUCUGCACAGCCGGACUCUCCAGAAAACACAUCUCCAGUCAGUGACUCACAACUUCCAGGCUGCUGUGGGUCCUGCAGCAGCCAGAGGGAUGGGGGAACCCUCUGGGAUGGCAUCAGACUCUAUACGGGUGUUUUGAAAUAAACAGGGCACCUCCCACCCCAGCUCAAAUAUUUUUUGAGAGUUUCUUGCCUUGUGUGUUUGUUCUGGGCUUGAAUGGAUGGUAUGGUCACCACCUUGCAAAGACCAAGCACAAAAGCCGGAGUAUACCUGAGGUCUAACGACAUUAGAUUGAAAUACACAGCUUUGGAAACUGGCAUGAUUUUAAUUUUCGCUUCCCGCUCAUUUCCUCCCCCAGUUAAUUGAAUUCCACGAGUACACAAUCACUCGAUUUUGUCUCCAAGUUUUCCCUUAUCUCCUUGGUCUCUAGCUAAACAACCUCCAAAAACAAUUAAAGAACAAAAUGAUAUUGCAGCAAGCAGGACUACUGCUAAUCUUCCAGUAGAUUGUAGCUUAUGAAAAUGAUUGAAAUGGUUGAAAAUUACAUUACUUGAAGGAGGUCAGCCUCCAAGCUGUAAGUAGCAUUUUUCUUUUUUAAUAUGAGGCUGCUUCAAUGCUAAUAAUCUCUCACAGGUCAAGAAAAGUCAAGACCGGGGUUAACCAGAAAGAGAAACUCCUGCAUGUCCUUGGAUUUAAUACCGGUUUGCAAAAAGCUUAGGAGAAAUGCUGAAAUGUUCUGCAUCCUGCAAUAACACUCGUUGUCUCAGAGGGGAAAUGGGUUUGCAGAGGGAGGAAGAUCGGGGAUGGUUAAUGGGCACAAACCAGGCAUGUAUACAGUAAAUUACCUUGAUUGUCGUCUUUGUGCUGGGCAUGGGCUAAGGGCCUUUACUGGUCACCAAAUGUAUCGCAUUAACCUGCUGCAUACAGUAUGCGCCUGUUUAUCCUGCCAAUUACUGCAAAUCUAAUCAGCUUUGGCCGGGUAAAAAUAGAGCCAGUUUCCGUGUGGAAGUCAAGAGGCACAAAAACAGCAGCAAAGAAGCUGAUCCUGAUCAUCUGAGCACAUGGGAGGGAAGAUUCGCAACACCGGGAGCAUGAAAUGCGUUCUGAUGCUUUUUUCCUUCUGGCCAGAUGGAUCUUUUCUCCCAGGGCGAUAUGGUCCCCAGCACCCACCAGGCAGCCCAAGGAGCUGGGGAGUGUGGGAACCGACGUUUUGUGAGUUUUCAGGAGCAAAAGAAUAGAGCUGCAACUAGCUGGAAGGGACAAGCAAGUUGAAAGUGAUGCAGGGGAGGCCAAGGUGUGCACGAGAUAUUUUGCACUAAGGGCAAAGAAAGAUGAGGGGGUGGUACGGGUUGUCAUUCAGUCUGGGGGAACUGCAAGUUUAGGUAAAUUGGUAGAUGGCUGAUGACCAGAUUUGAGUUCCUAUGGGCUGUGCAAUGUACCCAGCCAGUGUGUUCAGUAAAAUCAACCUGCUAUUUCACAUAAAGACCCACAAAGCAAAUAUUGUAGGAGAACAAGAAGAGUACCUGGUUCCACAGGUGGUAGCAUCUCAUCCUCCUCCUCUCACUCCAUCCCUCUGUGAUGUUUGCUGAAGGACAGAGGCCAUUUUUGCCCACUUGGUAGCCAAAACGUAAAGCCAAGGGAAAACAAUGUGAUUUUUCCCCCAAGACAUCCUAUUUUCCCUUUUAUUUCACUGGAUCACUCUACAAUAAAUAUGUGUCAAGCUGUUUGUUCAUGGUAAAACCCAGAUCUGUCUCACAGUCGCAGCUUAUCAUGCAGAGUGGUCCCGUUUGCCCUUCUCAUCCCAAGUGGAAAAACCUCUUUUGUCAGCAAUACAAGAACAUAAUUUAUUUGAAGGGACUUGGCUUCCCCAGCCACCCCCAUUGCCCCGUGUUUUCAAUACUGUUUUUCUGCUGCUGCUCUCGUGAAAGGCUGGAAAUACCCCUUGGUACGCCAGAAAACCCAAAGUGACUGAUUUUCCACAGCUGAAAGAUGCUUGUGAAUAAAACCCAGGUAGCCAGUCUUAACCAAACAAAACACAACCUUCCUUUCAAGCCUCUGAAUUUUAUGUCUGCAACCAAGGAGCGGGAAUGCUGCCGAUAAUUAAGGGACAUCUGUCACCCGCGUGUUCCUGCUGGUUUUGUCAGGAAAUGCGGCUGACAUAAUGCGAAGGGAAGAAACCUGCUUUGGAAAGCGACUUGGCGCGCUGGGUUCCAUGAUCAUUGUUGCCACGUGCCACGGUCGCUCCUGCCCGUGGAUGGUGGAAUGGGCCAGAGGAGCAAACGCGGGGCUCGUCACCCCAGUCACAGCCCAAAGCUUUGCCAAACCUGGCAACAAAAGCCACGUCUGGUCCCUCAGUCUUGAGACAGGCUUCAACUUGCAUGAGAAUUCAAAAAAUAAACAGCUGGGAGGGCUUUUUUUUAAAGAUUUUGGAUGUUUUCUGGAAAGAGCUUGUUUUUUCUAGCUUCUCUUAACAGCCACAGAAAGUCAUCUUUAUUUAAAUUCAGGAGGCUCUCAUAAGAAUUCCGGAACUUUUAGAGAUGAGGGUUGCAACUAUUGGCCAAAAUGGCUUGUUUUUUUUUUUCCUCAAGCUCUCAAUGGACUGAAUACCAAUAUCUGGUUUCACCAGUGGGGAAACUGAGGCAGGGACCAACGACACGUUUUGCCAAAGGUGACCCAGAAAGGCCGUACCGUGGCUGCCACGCAGUCACGGGCAGAAGGAAACACUCGCUCCUCUGCCCUGCCCCUUUGGAAAACGUGCUUCUGAAACCCGGGAUUGGGAUUUGCUUUAAAUUGAAGAAACAAGGCUCCUUCCCGGUUUUCAAGAGAACAGAGGAUCACCGGUGCUCUGCAGCGCAUCAGCCACUCCAGUUGCCAGCACGGACCAUGGGAUUUUUAGGCAGGAUUCUCUUCUCUGCAGGAUCACCUGCAAAGCCAAACAUUGAGCUUAAAACCUUGAACACUCAGGAAUCAACCAAGUAACAAGGGAUUACAUUUGCAGCUUAAUGGAGAUGCCGAUGUACGAAUUUCUGUGUGAAUAAUGAAUGUUUGGAAAUGCUUUGAGCGUUACAAAUGGUCAGGACAGUGUAUUUUCUUGUGUUCAGAAAGCCAGUGGCAAUAGUUCCCAGAAUUGUUUGGACUGUAGGAGUCUAAUAAUUCAUAACAUAGAAGAAAUGUCUUUCGCCGAAGCAAGAACACAUGGCAAUAUAAAAAAGUUGACACUACUCAUAUUCUUUUCUUAUGAAAUACUGUCACACAAGGAUGUUCAAGGAUCUUUUUAUUUUUUUCUGAGCAGAUAAACAGCUAUGGAAGGAUUUAUUCCAUAUUUGAUGUACUUUUUCAAACCAGGUUUCUUUCUUACGGCCUGUUUUGUAGGGGAUAGAAGCAGAUGCACUCUGCAGUCUGGAAUAGCGUGUCUAGACUGUCUAAACACACACAACUCCUUUGCUUCCCAAAAGAGGAGUAGAACGCUAUCCUACACAUUCCAUGUGUUGUGCUUCAAAAAAAAAAAAGGAAAACACAACCCAAACCUCCACAAAGCUCGAAGCCAGAUUCAUAGGCUUCCAGGAUCUGCUUAAGGAAUCAGCAAGCAGGAUUCGGGAGUAGUUAAGAACAGAGUGUAUCACAUGGUACCUAUUAACAUGGGAUAAUCCAGGAGGAAAAGAAAGGGUGAGGGAUAAAGGAAUGUCGCCCUAGAACAGCGAGAUUUUUAGAAAUCAAGCCACGAGGAUUCUAAACCACCAGAUUAGCUCAGCUGUCACUGUCAAGAGAUGCCCCAGGCACAAAGCGCGGGAAGCGGCGGGGAUGGAGAAGUAAAGAGUAUUUGAAUUUUCACUGUGAUGAAACGCACACCUUGAUCCUGCCAAAACGGAGCAUCCCAGGAGCACACGGUGCCGACUCUUCUGAAGUGGAGGAAAAUUUGGAUUUGGACUAAAACGCUCAUCCCAGACACAUUGAGAUGAACAGAGCUCUCCAAAAGAAGCGAAGCUGCAAGUUACAUCCUCUGUCUUCUGUAUUGUUCAUUUCUUACCCGGUUUCAUUUUCAGCCAGGAAUAAAAUCUUCCUUGGGCUUUUGCCUCCUAUAAAUGCUCUUCUCACAACCACCCCAUGCUCCUCCUUCACCCUCUGUACAUAUAAACCGGUAUCACUUGACCCUUCCCUCCAAACUUCCUUUGUGAUUAAAACCACCAGGGUUUUCAAGAGUCUGUGAAUUCUGGACAGUUAAUUCUGGAGAAGGUGUCAGGCUGAAAUUCGAUGCCAAAUCAAUACCUGAACCAAUUUCUCACUUGCCUGGAAUGCCCCAGGGCCUGCUGUCUUCAUUAGGAAACCAAAGAACAUACAGGGGGCUGGAUUUUUAAAGUUAAGUGACCCAAGUCAAACUCCGGAGUGAAAUGCCUCCAAGUUAUUUGUUGAAAGUGAAAAUGUGGAAGAAAUCGACUUUCAAGCCACAUGCAAACACCCAAUUGAAGGCCAGUUUCUUCCAAAUUUUUGGUCUCCGGCUCCAAAUGUAUCAAUUGUGCAUCGGUCUGGAGCGCUGCAGAGCAUCCUCUGCUCCAACAGACAUGCUGGCAGCACUCAGCCCCGUACAGGAUCCGUCCCUAAAUCUAUGUACAAAGCUCCAAAAUCACAGCAGCCUGCUUUCCCUGCUGGGCGGAGGGUGGCAGAGGGGCAUGUCCUAAAAAGGGGAGAUCACAUCCUGGGGAAAAAAAAAAAGCAACAAAACCAGAACCAUCUGAAAUGAAAUCCUGGCCCAGCUGAAGUCAAUGAAGGUUCUGCCACGAGUUUGAACGGGGCCGAGAUCGCGCUCUGCCAGCAACACGUGUCUGUUUCGCUGUCCCAAAAAGACUUCUUUAAACAAGAGCAGGCUGCCCAUGGUUUUCAUCAGUCUCAAAUAUUUCCUAUGUUUAUUUUCUUGGCCAAGCCCCAGAUUUGCCAAUUGCUGUACUGCACACUGCCGGCCCGCGCUCCCUCCCAUGUAAUCAGACGUCGUAUUUUUGCCUCCUAUCCCAAACCACUGAGCGGUGCCACUCUGAGUCAUUAGUCCCACCCCACACUCCUCCCCAAAUACCUCUGGUUUAUAUUUACUCCACAAAAUGCUUUGGGUUCAUUUUGGGAAGGAAGAUGCUUCAGCAAUGCAAGAUGACACCAUCCUUGGGUGGCUCUUUCCGUGAGGAUGCGACAGCAGCCUGGCCAUUUGCUAUUCCCGUCCCAUGAAAUCAGAGCGCUUCAGAGGAAAUCCAAGUACAAGAGUUCAGCAGGUGAGAACUAAAGUAGAUAUGUCCAGCGCUGAAGAAAUGGACCCUCUUCCCUCUGCUGACUGAGACAUCCAGUGACAGCUGCUGCAUGUCCUGAAAAUACAAAAAGAAAACAACGUCGCUCUCAGUUAUUGUUUACUGAUUAUUCCGACAAGAAAUCCUUCCCAGCUGUUUGUCUCAAACAUGAACAAGGAGAAUUUACAGGAAGAGAGAAGAUGCUGGAAAUAGGAUGAUCUGGGGAUGAGACAAGGAGCUGGUUUAGGUGCCCAGAGGGCUCUGAUUUUAGGGGAAACGUGUCUGUGUCUGCACAAACAUCCCAGAACGACCUUCACUCCCAACCCGCUCUCUUGAGCAAGUGGUAACAUGAGCUCUUCCCAAGUCGAUUUAUCUUGCUGAGGGUGGUUCCUUGCUUUGCCACUGGCUAGCCAGGAAUUCUUGGUGGCUUGUGACGGAAUUAUAUGUCACACUUGUUUCAGUUUCCUCGGGCUUCAUCCAAAACCACUUCUAAUCAGAGAAAAUGCUCCCAGUUCAUCUGCUGCACUCCAGAUUAGAGUUUGUCUUCCUGUCUGGCACUCAAGACAAACAAUUGCUGCUCUGGCUGUAAACCACAGACUCACUCUUAGCAGCAAAAUUCCCAUUCAGACUUUUAUCUGGGCUCAGGCUUAGCCCUAGUUCCCAAGCAGCAAAGUUUAAAGCUUCACCUUGCCGCAGAUCGGGCAAUCAUCAGAUACCCAGCUCUGAGCGCAGCGUAGCGCUUUUGGGGUGGAUUAACACUGGGAUAAAGACACCAAAAUAAGCAGAAAGGCCACCAAAGAACUCUGCGUGCAGACGCCUCCUGCUUUGUCCGUGCUGCAAUUCGAUGCAAACCUUUCCUGAAGGACUGAGAGCCAUUCCUCUGUUUUCUGCGUAUCUCGUCUUCUGAUGGACAAUGCUGGGCAUGGCAGGAAAAGGAAGCGCACACGGUUUGCACUUGACAGGGAUUGCUGCGUGGAAAGGACACACAGAGCCUGUGGGAUUUUCAAGGACCCUCUCGCAGCAGGAAUCUGCAAAACAGAAGCAGAGUUGUGUAGCUUUAUAAUAUAUAACAUUAUGCAGCCCCAGUGAGCGAACGUCCUUUGGCUGCUUGCUCUUGCAUUUCAGCAGGACUUCAAUAAAUGCAGUUGAUAGUCUACGAUAUUCCACAGGGAAAUAAAAAAGGAUAAACUACCAGCAUUUGGAAUUUUUGUGGUGCAGCAGUUUGUCUUCACAAGGUGUAUAAUGAGAUUUCCAAUAAACCGUCCCCCAAAGGA